rnacentral:tRNA from 1 species
CAUAUAAUAGCUUAAAGAUAAAGCAUUAAACUUUUAAUUUAAAGAUAAGAUUUCUUUUAUAUGA